rnacentral:tRNA from 1 species
GAAAAGGUGACCCAGUGGUUACAGGGUGCUAGCUGGAGACCUGGGUUCAAUUCCUUGCUAUGUCA